AGACGAGGCAUCAUUGGAGUAAAGCACCCUUUACAAAGCACGCUCCUAAGUAUUCUCGGACUCCUGUUAUUAACACAAUAACUGGACUGUACCAUGUAAAGGUUGUCAUGGUCUUGCUGACCACGCUGACCCAGACAUAGGGCUAAACUCAUCAGGGAUCAGGCCACGUCUGAUUAUAUUUGACCAUAUCUCCAGCACAUUUUUGUUCUUCUAAUCUCAAGUUAUGUGAUGGACGUGGCAGAAAGCCUUGUGUCGUUACACACAGUGCUGGUGUUAUCGAUACUCCCCGGGACACACAGGAUGAAAAAUACAAACACAGAACAGAUUUGUUUUCAGCAGCUGUUCCCAAAAGCUGAGGAAAGAGCAGAGGCAGGAUCCUGCCUGAAGAUGGCACUCUUCCAUUCUGGGGAAUGAGCAACGUCACCCUUAGAAGUGGCCUCUUCAAAGCCAAGUUGGAAUAAGCCUGUGGGGUGGAGAACCCUGGGCUGCCUUCAAUCUGAACCCUUUCCCUUGAGCACCAGGGUCACGUCAGGAAACGCUUCCCUCGUGGUGCAACCGAGGGCACCCAGGCAGUUUCCCAAAGUCUGGGGCACACGGGACUAGUUGUCGGGGGAAGGGACAGACAGGCCUUUGAAUUGUUCUCCAGCAUCUCAGCCCCCGAGACACAUUGGCCACUGAUCGUCCAUGGGACCCCAUCGCAGGUUACAUGGAGCUACUCCUGUGGUUCUCAUUCCUACUCAGAUUGUGGUCACCAUCUACCCAGCUACAGGUGUAUGGAAGGGUGAGUCACAUGCCCCUCACUGUAUGUGUAUAAUGAAGAGGACAGGUCAUUGAUACAAAGCAAUGUGGAUGGCUUGGUAUCUGGGCCCAAGCAAACAAUAUGUGUUUCAAUACCGCUAAAUGUAAAUGUAUCUGUCUAGGAACAAAGAAUGCAGGACACACUGACAGGAUGGGCAACUAACCUGGGAAGCAGUGACUCUGAAAAAGAUUUGGAGGUCAUGGUGGAUAAUCGGUGGAUAAUGAGCUCCCAGUGUACAGCUAUGAUCAA